rnacentral:rRNA from 1 species
UACGUAGGUGGCAAGCGUUGUCCGGAUUUACUGGGCGUAAAGAGCGCGCAGGCGGUCGUUCAAGUCGCGUGUGAAAGCCCCCGGCUCAACUGGGGAGGGUCACGCGAUACUGAUCGACUCGAAGGCAGGAGAGGGAAGUGGAAUUCCCGGUGUAGUGGUGAAAUGCGUAGAUAUCGGGAGGAACACCAGUGGCGAAGGCGACUUCCUGGCCUGUUCUUGACGCUGAGGCGCGAAAGCAUGGGGAGCGAACAGG